UGCGUAGGCGGCGUCAUAAGUCAGGGGUGAAAGCCCACAGCUCAACUGUGGUAUUGCCUUUGAUACUGUGGUGCUUGAAUCAGGUUGAGGUAGGCGGAAUGUGGCAUGUAGCGGUGAAAUGCUUAGAUAUGCCAUAGAACACCGAUUGCGAAGGCAGCUUACUGGACCUGCAUUGACGCUGAGGCAAGAAAGCGUGGGGAGCGAACAGGAUUAGAUACCCUGGUAGUCC
rnacentral:rRNA from 1 species